UACGUAGGGGGCAAGCGUUGUCCGGAAUUAUUGGGCGUAAAGAGCGCGUAGGCGGUCCGAUAAGUCGGCUGUGAAAGUCCAGGGCUCAACCCUGGAAAGCCGGCCGAUACUGUCGGACUAGAGUUCGGAAGAGGCGAGUGGAAUUCCCGGUGUAGCGGUGAAAUGCGCAGAUAUCGGGAGGAACACCAAUUGCGAAGGCAGCUCGCCUGGGACGAGUACUGACGCUGAGGCGCGAAAGC
rnacentral:rRNA from 1 species